rnacentral:rRNA from 1 species
CGUAACAAGGUCUCCGUAGGUGAACCUGCGGAGGGAUCAUUACACAAAUAUGAAGGCGGGCUGGAACCUCUCGGGGUUACAGCCUUGCUGAAUUAUUCACCCUUGUCUUUUGCGUACUUCUUGUUUCCUUGGUGGGUUCGCCCACCACUAGGACAAACAUAAACCUUUUGUAAUUGCAAUCAGCGUCAGUAACAAAUUAACAAUUACAACUUUCAACAACGGAUCUCUUGGUUCUGGCAUCGAUGAAGAACGCAGCGAAAUGCGAUAAGUAGUGUGAAUUGCAGAAUUCAGUGAAUCAUCGAAUCUUUGAACGCACAUUGCGCCCUUUGGUAUUCCAAAGGGCAUGCCUGUUCGAGCGUCAUUUGUACCCUCAAGCUUUGCUUGGUGUUGGGCGUCUUGUCUCUAGCUUUGCUGGAGACUCGCCUUAAAGUAAUUGGCAGCCGGCCUACUGGUUUCGGAGCGCAGCACAAGUCGCACUCUCUAUCAGCAAAGGUCUAGCAUCCAUUAAGCCUUUUUUUCAACUUUUGACCUCGGAUCAGGUAGGGAUACCCGCUGAACUUAAGCAUAUCA